rnacentral:tRNA from 1 species
ACCGGCCCCAUGCAGGGCACCGCUCUCCUAAGGCGGGUGUCGCGGGUUUGAAUGCUGCCGGAGGUG